rnacentral:rRNA from 1 species
UACGGAGGGUGCAAGCGUUGUUCGGAAUUAUUGGGCGUAAAGGGCUCGUAGGCGGUCUGUUGCGUCGGGAGUGAAAACUCAGGGCUUAACCCUGAGCCUGCUUCCGAUACGGGCAGACUAGAGGUAUGCAGGGGAGAACGGAAUUCCUGGUGUAGCGGUGAAAUGCGCAGAUAUCAGGAGGAACACCGGUGGCGAAGGCGGGUCUCUGGGCAACAACUGACGCUGAGGAGCGAAAGCGUGGGGAGCGAACAGG